UUUUUUUUUCCUAUAUCCCAUUUAUAUAAAAAAAAUUAUAUAAUAAAAAUCCCAUAUCCCAAUAUCACUCGUUAACAUGCUAUAACAUGCCGUGCAAAUUGACAUGAAGCAUUUAAAGACACAGGAGCUUUGCAGUGUAGCCAGCUGUGCAGCGUGAAGUCACUGUACAGUAAAGUGAAUCCCAGCAAUCCGUAAGGUCUCCAAACCGACCAGAACAACCGCUCGAGCUAUCGCGCGAUUAAUGAGUAUCUUGUCUGAAGAGCUUGCAAUCUUCCGCCUGACGCGUCCGGAGCGGACCCUUGAUGUCUGCUCCAAUAAUGAGGCGCAUUCUAGCACACGCGACACAAAGUGCAGGGUGAACAAACCUAGACUGGGUGCAAGUCCUGCUGCUGGUGAUGAAGGGGUUACACGGUGCCUGUUAACCCAGCUGGUGCCAGGACCCUGUCCACACACAGGCAGGCAUUGCAAAGCACUGAGACGGUGUUAUUAACACUUCUGCUGCAAAAUCCCAGUCUACAAACCCUUGCUGGACUUUGCAAAAAUAAAACCAAAGUAAAGAGAACCAUGCAAUAUUCUAUUUGGACCCCACAGAUCAGUUAACCCCCCUUACCCCAAAAUGCCAUGCCGAGUCCUUUGGGGAACUUUUAGUAUUAACCCAAGUACGCCCAGAUCAGUUUUAACCCUCUAUUUCCCUGUACAAGCAAAGCAUGCAAUAGGUACCCUACACAUGCA